rnacentral:rRNA from 1 species
UACGUAGGGGGCUAGCGUUGUCCGGAAUCAUUGGGCGUAAAGAGCGUGUAGGCGGUCCGGUAAGUCCGUUGUGAAAGUCAAGGGCUCAACCCUUGAAUGCCGGCGGAUACUGUCGGGCUAGAGUCCGGAAGAGGCGAGUGGAAUUCCCGGUGUAGCGGUGAAAUGCGCAGAUAUCGGGAAGAACACCCGUGGCUAAGGCGGCUCUCUAGUACGGUACUGACGCUGAGACGCGAAAGCGUGGGGAGCGAACAGG